rnacentral:rRNA from 2 species
GUGGAAGCAUAGUGAUAUGUGAAGCUGACCAAUACUAAUUGCUCGUGAGGCUUGACUAUACAACACCCAAGCAGUUG